GUGGUCUCCUCCGACGAAGGGCGGAACUGUGGGUAUGUCUGGAAAACUGCCUGAUGGAGCCGGAUAACUACUGGAAACGCUAGCUAAUACCGCAUACGGUCGCAGAACCAGCGAGGGCGACCUUCCUUCCUCUUGUCGGCGGAUGUGCCCCGAUUUAAUUACCUGACCGGUGGGAUAACGGCUCACCUAAGCAACGAUCCCUACCUGGUCUGAAAGGAUGACCAGCCACCCUGGAACUGACACAGGGUCCACACUCCUACGGGAGGCACCAGUGGGGAAUAUUGCGCAAUGGGCGCAAGCCUGAUGCAUCCAUGCCGCGUGUAUGAAGACUGCCUUCCGGUUGUAAAGUACUUUCUCCGAGGAGGAAGGUCUUUUGGUUAAUAACCACAGUGAUUGACGUUACUCUCAAAAGAAUCACCGGCUAACUCCGUGCCAGCACGCCGCGGUAAUACGGAGGGUGCAAGCGUUAAUCAUUAAUUACUGGGCGUAAAGCGCACUCAUGGGGUCUGUCAAGUCCGAUGUGAAAUCCCCGGGCUCGACCUGAAAACUGCAUUCUAAACUGGCGAGCUACAGUCUUGUAUGAGGAGAGUAGAAUUCCGAGUAUAACAGUGAAAUGCCUAGAGAUCUGGAGAAAUACCUGUAGAUAAGGCGG
rnacentral:rRNA from 1 species